UGAAUACAGGGGCAGACAUCUGAUCACGCUGAACCCAGAGGCAGGCUUGGUGAAUUUUGGAGCUGCCCAUGUGCCAGUGUCAUUGUACUUGAUUAACAAGAGGUGACUGUUUCUGCGCUGCUCUCUGCUGCUUAUUCAGUCUACCACGUGGUUUAGCCGGGAAACUCUGAAGCUUUGUUCACUUUCACACAGAUGGGGAGGUGGGUGAAGUCUGCCAUCGAGCCAGCACCCCAGGGAUGCCUGUGGACCCACCCAAGGCAGCACCAGUGAGGAUCCUUCCAUGCCAUGGUGGACUCCAGAGGUGUAGGAACCCCCUUGGAUGUUACAGAAACAUGAUCAGAGCCCUCUCCACAUGUGGAAUUCUCCCUGAAGGUCUCAAAAGCUGA
rnacentral:lncRNA from 14 species